rnacentral:rRNA from 1 species
AUUGAACGCUGGCGGCAGGCUUAACACAUGCAAGUCGAACGAGUGGCGGACGGGUGAGUAAUGCUUGAGACUCUAGCUUAUGGAGGGGGAUGACUACGGGACACUUUAGCUAAUAACGCGUACCCUAGGAUGAGCCCAAGUGGGAGUAGGUAGUUGGUGAGGUAAAGGCUCACCAAGCCGACGAUCUCUAGCUGGUCUGAGAGGAUGCCCAGCCACACUGGGACUGAGACACGGCCCAGACUCCUACGGGAGGCAGCAGUGGGGAAUAUUGCGCAAUGGGGGCAACCUGACGCAGCCAUGCCGCGUGAAUGAAGAAGGCCUUCGGGUUGUAAAGUUCUUUCGGUAGCGAGGCGUUAACUACAGAAAAAGCACCGGCUAACUCCGUGCCAGCAGCCGCGGUAAUUC